rnacentral:misc_RNA from 1 species
GACAGAGGUCACUUUUUGCAGCGCAAGCUGUAUUCGACUUUGAAUUCGAUUUGACAGUUUUCAGUUAACACUGGAUUCCAUCGAGCUGGUCUCGUUCCUCAAUUUCGAGUUAUUGUUCCUACUCAGAGGCUAUGGAAGUAUUUGAGUAUAAUAAAAGUCUGCUCACACGGCUUGAGGAGGCCACGGAAGUACUAAAUUGCACAAGUUCCCGCGUUGGAGCUUCCGAUGUCGCCUCGCAAUGGGCCUACUACAUUGAAUGUUACGUUGAACCCUCAGGGUGGCAAGCACUAUGGGCGAUGCCCAGGCUGAUCUGCGAGGAACUCGACAUCAAGUACCCGACAACGGUCUACGGAGUGGUUGACGAAGUGCUUUCAACGGACCUAACUGCAGUUUUCACAGUUCUUGCCGUCGAUGAAGUAAUUGAACUGCCCAAAAACCAAAUAGUGAACCUGAUAGAUCUGUGGCCGGUCAAGAACCAAGAAAACAUCGAGCUAAAUGCAGAGGUUACAGCAGACUGCCUCGAUAAGCUAAGAUUUUUCUACAACCACAUCUGGAUGCCAUGGGAUAAUGACUGCGACGAUGACAUAAACUGGACGGAGAAGCACCUGCAGUCUCGGAUACGCUUUUACUUCGACUUGAAGCGGAAAGACAUGAGGCGUUGUGUGGCUGCGCACAUCCGGACGCUUAUCGUUGAGGCAAAGUACAUCCAAAGCAAAAGAGAAUAUCUCGAAAUGGACCUGAGCGACAAAGAAGAUGAUGUGGAAAGUGAUCAGCAACUGGAUGAUUCGCAAAUCACGGAUCUAAUGCGUUUGCACUUCCGCCUGACCAUGAUCAAGAGCCAAUUCGAAAUGCUCGAGAACCCGAUGUUGAGGAGAAUCUACGAAAAUAUUAUGUUCGACGAUCAUAAGUACUUGAAACACGCCCUGAAGUUGGAGAAGAAGGAACUGCGACGUUCACUGGAAGGCGAGAAGGCAAAGGCGUACAUUGUUACGCAGCUGCGUACGUUGACGGAGCAGCUCAAAUACCUAGAAAAGGCUCAGGAAAUCAUCGAACCCGGAAAGUGCGUGCAAAUGAGCAAGUCACUGAAGGACGUUCUUGACUUCUGCAAUCCAUCGGACCACAUCUAUCUUCCGCCAGGCGUUCAUAUCAUGUCCUUCCUAGAAUAUUUUAACGAUAAUGGCUUGAUUUGCGGCUUAACCACUGAUAUCAGUUACAACAAUCCAGAAUAUUUCGCAGCUACACCCCAAGAACACGAUGUGAUUGUAACUACCCAAGACUCGGACAGCAUCCUUUUGAUAUUUGAUGGGAAUUUCACAAUAAAGAAUGUAAUCCUCGAUUGCAGAACUGCUCGCUGUGGAGCUAUGGUAAAAAAUGGCACCGUCACCUUCGAGAAUUGUCUUAUAAUAGGCGAUGGAAAAUCGAGUACGAAGCAUGGAAUAACCGUUUGCAAUGAGGGGAAGCUGAUUUUGAACGGAUGCUUGAUUAGAGAUGUCGCUCAAGGAAUAGUUCUGCGGGACGAUGCCACGGUGCAUAUGAAAGACACAAAUGUGUUCAACUGUCGUUACGGCCUGCAAGUGGAGGACGGCACUGAAGUGAAGUUCGACAAAGUCUCUUUUGUGGGUACGAAGUACUGCGGGAUCUAUUAUCUUACGAAUUGUCUCAACAACAAAGUAGAAGAGCAAACCAUCGUACACGACGAGCUCUAUUCAAUGAAAAAUGAUUUGUGCGAAAGUCUUCCGUGGUCAGGAGAUUGUACAUUCGAGAACGCUAGCCGGAAUGUGGUGCUUAUCAACAAGCAAGCAAGUCUGGUCUCAGGACAUGUAGCAGAUGUAAUAUCGGACAGCAUGGAAGAUGUAAGGUUUUGCUCGUUUCAAAAUGGAGACGAUAGUGGCGACUUUCAUAUGAGCGAAGAGAAUGAAGUUAUUUGUGUCGACAACGACGAUUCAAUUGUGUUGAUUGAGUAAUGACUGAAGAUCGUCAAUUUGUUUCGGUUAAAAUAAAUUAAGAGUUCAACAUUUCAUCUCAAAUGGACAUCAUUUCUUAAUGUUUUUCGGUUGUAUUGUGCUUGUUCGUCUCAUAUGAGUUUCGUCACAAAAUUGGCUAAAUAUUUAGUUACGUAAUGAAUGCGCACUAGUUUGAAAUUACCAGAACCAUUCGCUAUGAAUAUUGGAGCUCUUCCACUACAAUUCAAUACUCAACGAGCAAGAGUCAUUAUGAAGAGAUGUUUUUAUCAACAGAAGCCUGAUAUUCUUCUCGUCUUAGCUUUGAUUUUGAUUUUUUUCUAAAUUUCAAUCUCGUGCUUGUAGCGCCUUUACAUGUGUACAUUAGCUUUACUGUUACUGCUUUAAUUGUUUUAUAUAUUUGAUAAAUAAAUGUGCUAAGCAAUUGUGUCUUAAA